rnacentral:rRNA from 1 species
AGAGUUUGAUCAUGGCUCAGAACGAACGCUGGCGGCAGGCUUAACACAUGCAAGUCGAACGCACCGCAAGGUGAGUGGCAGACGGGUGAGUAACGCGUGGGAAUCUACCCAGUUCUUCGGAAUAACUGAGGGAAACUUCAGCUAAUACCGGAUACGCCCUAUGGGGGAAAGAUUUAUCGGAAUUGGAUGAGCCCGCGUCCGAUUAGCUAGUUGGUGGGGUAAUGGCCUACCAAGGCUGCGAUCGGUAGCUGGUCUGAGAGGAUGAUCAGCCACACUGGGACUGAGACACGGCCCAGACUCCUACGGGAGGCAGCAGUGGGGAAUAUUGGACAAUGGGCGCAAGCCUGAUCCAGCCAUGCCGCGUGAGUGAUGAAGGCCUUAGGGUUGUAAAGCUCUUUCGGUGGGGAAGAUAAUGACGGUACCCACAGAAGAAGCCCCGGCUAACUUCGUGCCAGCAGCCGCGGUAAUACGAAGGGGGCUAGCGUUGUUCGGAUUUACUGGGCGUAAAGCGCACGUAGGCGGAUUGUUAAGUCAGGGGUGAAAUCCUGGAGCUCAACUCCAGAACUGCCUUUGAUACUGGCAAUCUCGAGUCCGGAAGAGGUGAGUGGAACUCCUAGUGUAGAGGUGGAAUUCGUAGAUAUUAGGAAGAACACCAGUGGCGAAGGCGGCUCACUGGUCCGGAACUGACGCUGAGACGCGAAAGCGUGGGUAGCAAACAGGAUUAGAUACCCCCGUAGUCC